rnacentral:rRNA from 1 species
GCUUACGGCCAUACCACCCUGAACACCCUCUCGAUCUCGGAAGCUAAGCAGGGUCGGGCCUGGUUAGUACUUGGAUGGGAGACCGCCUGGGAAUACCAGGUGCUGUAAGCU